UGGGGAAUAUUGGACAAUGGGCGAAAGCCUGAUCCAGCAAUGCCGCGUGAGUGAUGAAGGCCUUAGGGUUGUAAAGCUCUUUUACCCGGGAUGAUAAUGACAGUACCGGGAGAAUAAGCUCCGGCUAACUCCGUGCCAGCAGCCGCGGUAAUACGGAGGGAGCUAGCGUUGUUCGGAUAUACUGGGCGUAAAGCGCACGUAGGCGGCGCAGCAAGUCAGGGGUGAAAUCCCGGGGCUCAACCCCGGAACUGCCCUUGAAACUGCAGUGCUAGAAUUCUGGAGAGGCGAGUGGAAUUCCGAGUGUAGAGGUGAAAUUCGUAGAUAUUCGGAAGAACACCAGUGGCGAAGGCGACUCGCUGGACAGACAUUGACGCUGAGGUGCGAAAGCGUGGGGAGCAAACA
rnacentral:rRNA from 1 species